AUCACUGAAAAGUUGUUUAUUUGUGGAACCCAGAAUAUAUUUUUAAACAUCUCUGAUUUGCUGACCCUCUGAAUCCAAGGCUAGGCUCCAGGGGAUUCUCAGCAGGGAUUUUUGGCCCUAUGGCCAAGACCAAAUUUAAGAUGAAUUUACAGUGAACACUGUUAAAUGGUCACAGAACCGCCUCACUCCUUUAAAGAAGAGCUUAAGUUAACAUUUUUGCUAAAUUUAAAUUUACACAACAGAUAAAAGAGAAUAUGUAUGGCAAAAUCUAUUAAAAAUAGUCAAGAGAAGAAGCAAGGAAAAGGAAGUGGAGCUAUUUCUCUAAAAGAUUAAACUGGAAAGGAAUAGAAUGGAUCAGAAUAAGGGACUCUUUUAAUCAACCCUCUCUAAUAGGAAUGUAUGACCAAGGAAUCCUUUUUUGCAUGUAAAGAUCAGGGGGGUUUAAUCACAAAAUAGUGAUGGGAACAUACAUUAAUUUGUUGGAUCAGAACGCACUGAAAAAAUGGAAGAGAAUAUAAGUACUUGAUGGCAUUAUGUACAAAGACUUUAAAUAUCUUGGAAAGGUCUUGUUGGAAAGGGAAACAUUCUACACACAGUUCUGAAUAUGUGCACAAUAAGGUGUUGGUCCCCAAAGGCUAAGGAAAACAUACCAAGAAGAAUAGAAACUGUUCUAAAGGAUUUUCACAUCUGGGAAGUGUGUUUCUUUCCCUGUCCCCCUUCCCACUCUCUCUCUCUCUCUCUCUUCCACUCUUAUUCUGGCUCUCUAGCUCCUCUCUUUUCCCCACCAUACAGGUAUUCAGCAGCAGCAGAAAUAACACAAGAAAUUUUUGCAGUUUCCUCUAUAUAAAUCCUGCAAUUGUAGUGGUCAGAGAAAAAAUAUUCAGAUUAUAAUCUGUUUAAAGUAAGUUUUUCUUUUGAUGCGUGUAUGACUCCCAUAAAUGUUAAUGCUGGCUUUGGGCUUCAAAAGGAACGUCCCUCGCAGUACUGUAGAGUUAAGACAUAAGAAAAUUUAGGAGAUUGAAAAACCCAUCUGACUUGGCACUUGUGCUAUUUAUUUAGUUUUGGAGCUGUGAAGAAAAGAAGGAAUGAAAUCUCUCCCACCUAUAUAAUUUUACCUAGUUUUCCUGUAUACUAAAAUAUCAAUUCAAUAAUAUCAAUUUAUAUCAAAUUAUCAAAUAUCAUGUUAAAGUGUCAAAUAAUUUCUGUGGGUUUUUUACUUGAUUGCCUUAAUUUCUGUAUCAACUUUUCCAACACUUGUAUGUAAAAUAAAACAGGUCAAGACUUCACCAACUGAACAGUUUACAUUGCUUGUGUAACGAAUUGAGGAAUUGAAAGAACUGAGGAAUGGAUAACUGACCAAAAGGUCACCUGACCUUUCAUCUUCUGGACACUGUAUGAUUGGAGCAUGCUAAUGUAAGACUUGAAUUAAUCAUAAAGAUUGGUAAUGUGUCUAGGUACUGUGAGUAUGUGCAUCAGUAACUACAGCCUACCUGUAAACCUGGAGAUGGUCAUCUGCCACAACUCCGGGUUUCAAGAGAGAGAAAAUGUGAAUGCUGUUUUAUUGACCAAAACCUUUAAGCUGAGUAGCAUGACCUUCCUCUUAGAGCCGGAGUUACCUGUGAAUGAUGAGCCUAAUGCCAUUCCAGCCAGAGCUGUGGAAACAGGCUUGCUGAUUGUAGAGCAGCCAACUGCACUCACGUGGAUGACAGUGUCAACAGGACGGCCUUUUGUGAGGACCAGAUGAGGUAAGGGGAGCAGCAGUCUGCUACCUCGGGUGAAGUGCCCAAAGAUGACUUGCUUACUUUAUCAUAAUGUAAAUAUUAAUUAAGGUGGUCUGGUUUUGUUGCUGAAGUGCACAUUUUGGUGGCUGUGUGCUUUCUUUUUCUUUUGGCCACCUUUUUGGCAAAUAGAGUUGUAAGAGGGUAGUAGACAAUUCCACGUGAAGAGAGAUCUCAUAGGGGCGGUUUGAGACCAGGAAGAAAAGCAGGAGGGUCAUUUCAUACGGUGCUAUUAGUUGUUCUAGUAUGGGAGGUGAUUUUGAGGGGCAGGAUGAAAAUCUCAGCAACUGCAAAUAUGUUUUACGCAGUCUUGUGUAAAACAAUGUGGAGAAGAACUCCUCUGUUUUCGUGGUUCAGAAUGACAGAGCUUCCUUUCCACUUGCUUACAUUUCCUGCAAGAGUCCUGUUUUCUAGACCAGAGACAAUCAUGCAUGUACCUGCUUCCAAAGAGGAAUUUGCUGAUCUUUUAAAAAAAAUCUAAUCUUUGAUAGUGUUUAUCCGCACUAACUUCAAGAUAUAUGGAUGACUUUUGAGCAGAGAUGGUACUUUGAUUUUUACUGCAGAUGUGUAUUGCUGCUUCCUAGUGACUGAAUUCCUUCAAGCACAGUAAAAUUCUCUGCACAAUAAAAGGUGAAGCUUAAUUAUUAAUUUCCUUAGGUGGGACCUAUAUCUUCCACUGCUGAGAGGUGUUCUGUCCACAUGGGGAAAUGCAGAGGCAGAUUUAACUCAGAUACGACACUCUUUUAAAAGCAGUUCUGCAAAGCUCUCAAGACUCAGUGAAAAUAAUUAGGAAAUUAUCUUGCAUGGAGUAAUUUAGUAUUUUGGCCAACAUGUUAAACAAUAUUCUAUUAUUUCUAGUAAAAUAACUGAUGAGGGAUUUCAGAUAUCCUAGAAGGCUCUACUGAACAGAAAAUUCUGCAAAUUUCUACCUUCAUUUAUAAAGUCAGGCUGAUUUCUGAGACCUCUGUAUGCCCAUCCUGUGAGAUUUUACCAUUAAUCAAUAUUAGGUGAAAAAAAUAUUCACUUGUAAAUGGAAGGCUUAGUGAUCAAAAGGAACAUAUCAGGUUAGAAAUAUUUUUGCUAAAUGUUAUGUUGUGCUCUUUAUUUCCUAUUUUAUUCUUACUGGCCUGAACAACACGAUGUACAAUUCCUUGCAUGUCUUCCCCCCUUCUGAUGAUCUGAUCUCAAAUAAUCAUUUGAAUCCUGAAAAAGAGGCCCCUUUAUUAUUAUUUUUGUUCUUUCACAUGAUCAUAAAUCCUCCAGAGAAGAGAGCUGGUAUCUGCUGAAAGCAUCUGACUUCUAAACAGAUUGUGGGUUAAAGGAGUCACUUGGACAAUACAAGGUGAAUACUUUGGCUAAACCCUGAAGGUUUGCAUGUGUGAAAAAAACGCCCAUCUGGUCAGAGAAGGACUGUGGAGCCAAGAGACCCUGGAGGCAUUCCUCCUACACUCCAUCUCUGUGGGGAAAAAGUGCCAUCAAAGAAUUGAAGUUGUAAAUGUCCCUGGACAGCAAAAUAUUUUGUGACCAGAAGAUGACCUGUAAUGUGGGUGCAGGCUUUUUUUGUAUAUACCAAGGGGACUUUUGUCUUUGAAAAUGAAGGAAGUUUGGACAUUUCAAAGGAGAAAUGCCUUAAACCAGCUGCCACUUUGCUCACUUCAACCUUUGACACUAUGAAGAGUUUCAAGGACUUGUCUUCUGAAAGUGUUUACCUUGUGAGGUGGCUUCCUGGGUACGAAUAGUUUUACAAUCCUUUGAAAAGCUACUAGAAAAUUCGCCCAUGUGAUUACUGUUUCAAGAAGACAGAAGAUCCACCUGUGUGAAGAGCUGAAGGAGUUACUGGUGGAAGGUGCUUCAGUCCUGAAAAGUUCCUUCAAAGAAACUCUCGGCCUGGGACUGGUGCAGCUCUGCAGACUGGAGCUCUCACUGUACUUCAAAGCAGAGCAAGUCUCGCAGCUGCCUGGAGCCCGCUUGCCCCAGGAGGUGUCACUGUUGGGACUAGCAGGGCGAGCUCCAGAGCUGCUGUUUAUUUUUUAAAGGCUGCAUUGACCAUGAGGUAUGUAGUCUGCUAUUCAUUCAACUACUCUCCACAGUCUGCACUGACCUUCAAGACCAGACUUGGUCCAGAAGUCAGGAGAUCCUGUCUCACUCCUCCCUGCUCUAAUUCCACCUGCUUUGAAGGAGACAUCUCAUUUUUUUCUCUCUAGAGCAGUUGCAGCAUUUAUGAAAUCUUUGUAAGACCUUGUUGGACCCUUGUGCAAAGGGCAGUCUUGUGAUGUGAAAUACCCUCUUACUGUGGAGCAAACUAAGACGAAGGAAUGAGUGAGUGAUGCUUGACACAGGCAACCUCUUCAUGCUGCAGCACCCAGCAGAAACCCCUGAGUUGUCUUAUGAACCUCAUCUGCAUUUUUCAUCAUCUGAAAGAGCUGAAAUUGCAGAAGGACUGAAGGCACCUGUAUGUGAGACUUAGAAUAGUUUUCCUUAGCUUUAGAGAUCCAGCUCUGCCAGGGGGCUGAUCUCUCUGUUUCCUGUCCUCCUUGAGGGGCUCUGUGCUCAAGCCAACAGAUCGCAUCUGGUGGCGCUGGUUUGCAGAGAGGCAACAGUACAAGCUCCUGUGAGUAAAUCCCAGCAUUACAGAUGAACUUACUAGACCCACCCUAAUACUCUGGGGUUGUCUCCUGCCUUAUGGGCUGCCACGGAAGCUCUAAAACCAUCGCACACAAAACUAUGGGACUCCCACCAUCAACAUGAGCUCUCUACCUGCCCCUGGUGCUGGCUGUCAGAACCACUUCAUCUGAAAUCAAGGUUGCUUGCUAUCUACCUGAGCAAUUCUAAAAUGGUCAGUAUGGUGAUGUGGAGGAAUGGAAUAAUCCCAUCUGAGAAAAGGUAGGUUUUCUGACUGGCAGUUACAUUUCUAUUGGUGUAUCAUGAAAAUAGAGUCUCUUCCUAACUGUUUAGUUCCCCUUGCCAAAUGGUGUGGUAGUUUUGAAGGUUUAGCUUGUCCAAAGAGCAGCUUGAAUCUAGCACCAAAGAAUUUCCAAACAGUGACUUGAACAGUUUUACAUAAGAAGUUAGGGUAAAAGAUCCUAAUGAAGCCCUUUCCCAUGCCACUUAGACAGUAUUGAUAUCUGCUUUUAAUAAUAUUUUGGCUGUUGAAUUGCAUCCAUGUCUUGCUUCAGCUAUGGAAAGUUUGGAAACACGAAGACUUUGUGGGAGCCUGUGAAAUGCUGGAAUGCUGAUACACCUCCCAUGGAGUAUGAAAUAGAGGUCAUGAUUUCUCUUUGUCAUGGAGCAGCCCAGGACAACAUCACAAAAAUUCUUUGGAUUUAUGCAGUAGCCAUGUUUGUUGAAGUAUUUGGCACCAGUGACAUCAUUUCUGUUGAAAUGCUGGACGGCGUGAUGAGUCCCAGAUGUUAAUUCACACCAAAAGUCGAGAAUGAAUAAAAUAUAAAGAUCAACUGUAACAGCUAUGAAGGGCUGUACUCAGUUUGCAUUCUGGCGUUGAUACACGAAGACUAUGGGAUUUUGUCAAGGGCUCCUAAAGCUGUUAAGAUUUUGAGGCAUGAAAAUCCACUGAAGCUGACUUGAGAAGUCUACAGGUUGCUGCCUUCAUAGACUUCUGUAUUCUGGAAGCAUGGAAAACUCCCUGAUGCCUGAGACGUGCAUGCACUCUUAUGGAACAUGAUAUGUGAGUAUAAUCUAAUACGUAUACAAGGCAGCUGAAGAGUACACUGUCUUUUCAUGUAAAUGUAUCAGCAAAGUCCCCAGAACUAAUUUCUGGAAGUGGUUAGGAAAGCUGACAGAGCAUAGCAGGACUGGAGACUCUUUCUUGUUGCUCAGCAGACUGUUUUGAGUGGCUGGGCUCAGCAGAGCACCGCACACAUUCAGUCAGUAAAAAUUGUUGGCAUCACCUGAAGAUUAUUGUUAUCUCUGGAAGACUGCCUGUCGUGUGGAUAGCUUUCAUACACAGCAUGAUGUGUGGUAUGAAGCAAGUUUUGCAUAUUUUCAGCCAGAAUGAAAACCCAAGAGCUGCAGAGCAUAUCUGUGCAAGAAAUAGCUAAAGACACCUGGCAAGAAAACCUGAUGGCCUGGUGGCCAAAAACCUGGUUCUGCUGGAGCUUCUGGAACUGCCUCAUCUCCUCAGCUCACUGCUGACUCCACGCUGCUUUGAAUCAGGCUCUGUCCAGAUGACGUUGCAAAGGCCGAGUCUGCCUUUGCAUUUUAGCUUGGAUCAAGACUGAACCUCCAAAUUAAAUCUUGUGACCAUUUCCACUGCUUAUGCUUUUGUUCAUGUUGAGGAACAGUCUCAAGUGCAUGAACUGGAAUUAAUUUUGGAUAAAAGUAAACCAACCACAUUUGACAUAGUCCAGAUAGGAAUGGGUACUUGGUCUGUGGGACUA